AGUGCAUUCUCUGCGCCUCCAGGCUGUUGUCAUGUUCACGGAGCUGAUCAGGGAGAACUUCAGGAACAGCAAACUGAAGCAGUGCCUGCUGCCGCCACUGGGGGAGCUGCUCUACCUCAUCGCCACACAGGAGGAGAAGAAAGAGCACCCAGGAGAGCUGUGGGUUGUUCCUGCUGCCGCCUACACGGUGUUAAUGAGGUGCCUUCGGGAAGGGGUAAGACUGCUGCACCUGCCUCAGCAGGAGGGAGGGAGGGGGGUGGGGGAGUUCCGCGGUAAUGAUCCUCCUGCAAGACCCUACAGGCAUUGUUUGCCAACUGCAAGUCAAGGGCAUGCAGCAGACCCAGUCGUCAGCCCCUGUCAUGUACCUGCAUCAAAACAACCCCCGGAUGGAUGGGUCCUUGUCAUGACCUCACUGGCAAUUAACGACCGGUGGAUACACACACGUACACACACAUACACACUCUGUAUGUAGGCUGUGUGUAGUGCAGUAGUGUGUCAGUCAGCCAGAUAGUCCGUUUGGCCAGAGGACUGUUGUUCCUCAGCUGGUGCAUCUGUUCUUCUUAAUUACAAAACUGAGUUUGUUUCAAAAGACGAUGUCUCUUCUCCCAGAAGGGAGAGUUGGUAUUACGUGUUCAUUAUAAACUAAUUAGCAGAACUUUUAGGCUGGCCAGCGUAUAUACCAAUAUGGAGCAAGAUUAUUCACAAGAUUUGUGAGUUGGGUGGGGGCAAAUAUAAUUUAGUUGUCAAUUUAAGUCUGAUGCCAUCUACUGUAAUUUCAUUGAAAGGAUUAGCCUAAAAAUAGGUUUUGUCCAGACAGUUUACACCAAAUUUGUGAAUUCUGAUCCAUAAUCUCCAGUCUUCUAUUUAAAACAUAUGAAUAAUAAAGGUGUAAUGGAUCCUG